rnacentral:rRNA from 1 species
GUCACACUGGGAUCGAACUGUCCAGAUCACGAGUCCCGUAGGAUCUCCAUGGGCAGUCAGUGAGGCAUGCCGCGUAUGCGAGAAAGUUUCCGAUUUAAACUCUGUGUAAGGAAGACUAGUCACUAGUACUGUUGUACCUUAGAGCGGAUACCUAAUUAGAAAGACGCCGUCUAACGUACGUGCCAGCAGCGGGAGUAUUAUGUAAGGUGCUAAGCGUUUUCCGAAAUAUCGGCGUAGAGCGCGCGCCASCCGGUACCUCCUAGUCUGAUGUUGGAAGCCGACGGCUCCACCCCUGGAGGGUCAUUGGAAACUGUGGGACUUGAGUGCAGAAGGACGGAAAGCGGAAUACCAAGUGUAGCGGUGAAAUGCGUAUGAGAUUUGGAGGAACACCAGUGGCGAGGGGCGAUCUUUCUGGUCUGUAACCGUCGCUGAGACGCGAAAGCGUGAGGAGCACACAGGAUUAGAUAGCCUGGUAGUACACGCCGUAAACGAUGAGUGCUAAGUGUUAGGGGGUUUUCGCCCUUUAGUGCUGCAGCUAACGCAUUAAGCACUCCGCCUGGGGAGUACGGUCGCAAGACUGAAACUCAAAGGAAUUGACGGGGGCCCGCACAAGCGGUGGAGCAUGUGGUUUAAUUCGAAGCAACGCGAAGAACCUUACCAGGUCUUGACAUCCCUUUGACCACUGUAGAGAUAUAGUUUUCCCUUCGGGGACAACGGUGACAGGUGGUGCAUGGUUGUCGUCAGCUCGUGUCGUGAGAUGUUGGGUUAAGUCCCGCAACGAGCGCAACCCUUGAUCUUAGUUGCCAUCAUUUAGUUGGGCACUCUAAGGUGACUUCCGGUGACAAUCCGGAGGAAGGUGGGGAUGACGUCAAAUCAUCAUCCCCCUUAUGUCCUGGGCUACACACGUGCUACAAUGGCCGAUACAAACGGUUGCCAACUCGCGAGAGGGAGCUAAUCCGAUAAAGUCGUUCUCAGUUCGGAUUGUAGGCUGCAACUCGCCUACAUGAAGCCGGAAUCGCUAGUAAUCGCGGAUCAGCAUGCCGCGGUGAAUACGUUCCCGGGCCUUGUCCACACCGCCCGUCACACCACGAGAGUUUGUAACACCCGAAGUCGGUGGGGUAACCUUUGGAGCCAGCCGCCGAAGGUGCAAUAGUUCCG